GAUUCUGUAGCUCAGUCGGUAGAGCAUCUCCCUUUUAAGGAGAGGGUCCUGGGUUCGAGCCCCAGCAGAAUCA
rnacentral:tRNA from 1 species